GGGUUGUGAGGUUAAGCGACUAAGCGUACACGGUGGAUGCCCUGGCAGUCAGAGGCGAUGAAGGACGUGCUAAUCUGCGAAAAGCGCCGGCGAGGUGAUAUGAACCCUUGACCCGGCGAUGUCCGAAUGGGGAAACCCAGUGUGAUUCGUCACACUAUCGUUAACUGAAUACAUAGGUUAACGAGGCGAACCGGGGGAACUGAAACAUCUAAGUACCCCGAGGAAAAGAAAUCAACCGAGAUUCCCCCAGUAGCGGCGAGCGAACGGGGAGCAGCCCAGAGUCUGAAUCAGCUUGUGUGUUAGUGGAAGCGUCUGGAAAGUCGCACGGUACAGGGUGAUAGUCCCGUACACGAAAAUGCACAGGCUGUGAACUCGAAGAGUAGGGCGGGACACGUGGUAUCCUGUCUGAAUAUGGGGGGACCAUCCUCCAAGGCUAAAUACUCCUGACUGACCGAUAGUGAACCAGUACCGUGAGGGAAAGGCGAAAAGAACCCCGGCGAGGGGAGUGAAAAAGAACCUGAAACCGUGUACGUACAAGCAGUGGGAGCACCUUCGUGGUGUGACUGCGUACCUUUUGUAUAAUGGGUCAGCGACUUAUAUUCUGUAGCAAGGUUAACCGUAUAGGGGAGCCGAAGGGAAACCGAGUCUUAACUGGGCGUUAAGUUGCAGGGUAUAGACCCGAAACCCGGUGAUCUAGCCAUGGGCAGGUUGAAGGUUGGGUAACACUAACUGGAGGACCGAACCGACUAAUGUUGAAAAAUUAGCGGAUGACCUGUGGCUGGGGGUGAAAGGCCAAUCAAACCGGGAGAUAGCUGGUUCUCCCCGAAAGCUAUUUAGGUAGCGCCUCGUGAACUCAUCUUCGGGGGUAGAGCACUGUUUCGGCUAGGGGGCCAUCCCGGCUUACCAACCCGAUGCAAACUACGAAUACCGAAGAAUGUUAUCACGGGAGACACACGGCGGGUGCUAACGUCCGUCGUGAAGAGGGAAACAACCCAGACCGCCAGCUAAGGUCCCAAAGUCAUGGUUAAGUGGGAAACGAUGUGGGAAGGCCCAGACAGCCAGGAUGUUGGCUUAGAAGCAGCCAUCAUUUAAAGAAAGCGUAAUAGCUCACUGGUCGAGUCGGCCUGCGCGGAAGAUGUAACGGGGCUAAACCAUGCACCGAAGCUGCGGCAGCGACGCUUAUGCGUUGUUGGGUAGGGGAGCGUUCUGUAAGCCGUUGAAGGUGGCCUGUGAGGGUUGCUGGAGGUAUCAGAAGUGCGAAUGCUGACAUAAGUAACGAUAAAGCGGGUGAAAAGCCCGCUCGCCGGAAGACCAAGGGUUCCUGUCCAACGUUAAUCGGGGCAGGGUGAGUCGACCCCUAAGGCGAGGCCGAAAGGCGUAGUCGAUGGGAAACAGGUUAAUAUUCCUGUACUUGGUGUUACUGCGAAGGGGGGACGGAGAAGGCUAUGUUAGCCGGGCGACGGUUGUCCCGGUUUAAGCAUGUAGGCGGAGGUUCCAGGUAAAUCCGGUACCUUUUAACGCUGAGGUGUGAUGACGAGGCACUACGGUGCUGAAGUAACAAAUGCCCUGCUUCCAGGAAAAGCCUCUAAGCAUCAGGUAACACGAAAUCGUACCCCAAACCGACACAGGUGGUCAGGUAGAGAAUACCAAGGCGCUUGAGAGAACUCGGGUGAAGGAACUAGGCAAAAUGGUGCCGUAACUUCGGGAGAAGGCACGCUGAUAUGUAGGUGAAGCCCCUGCGGGUGGAGCUGAAAUCAGUCGAAGAUACCAGCUGGCUGCAACUGUUUAUUAAAAACACAGCACUGUGCAAACACGAAAGUGGACGUAUACGGUGUGACGCCUGCCCGGUGCCGGAAGGUUAAUUGAUGGGGUUAGCGGCAACGCGAAGCUCUUGAUCGAAGCCCCGGUAAACGGCGGCCGUAACUAUAACGGUCCUAAGGUAGCGAAAUUCCUUGUCGGGUAAGUUCCGACCUGCACGAAUGGCGUAAUGAUGGCCAGGCUGUCUCCACCCGAGACUCAGUGAAAUUGAACUCGCUGUGAAGAUGCAGUGUACCCGCGGCAAGACGGAAAGACCCCGUGAACCUUUACUAUAGCUUGACACUGAACACUGGUCCUUGAUGUGUAGGAUAGGUGGGAGGCUUUGAAGCGUGGACGCCAGUCUGCGUGGAGCCGUCCUUGAAAUACCACCCUUUAAUGGCUGGUGUUCUAACGUAGACCCGUAAUCCGGGUUGCGGACAGUGUCUGGUGGGUAGUUUGACUGGGGCGGUCUCCUCCCAAAGAGUAACGGAGGAGCACGAAGGUUAGCUAAUCCUGGUCGGACAUCAGGAGGUUAGUGCAAUGGCAUAAGCUAGCUUGACUGCGAGAGUGACGGCUCGAGCAGGUGCGAAAGCAGGUCAUAGUGAUCCGGUGGUUCUGAAUGGAAGGGCCAUCGCUCAACGGAUAAAAGGUACUCCGGGGAUAACAGGCUGAUACCGCCCAAGAGUUCAUAUCGACGGCGGUGUUUGGCACCUCGAUGUCGGCUCAUCACAUCCUGGGGCUGAAGUAGGUCCCAAGGGUAUGGCUGUUCGCCAUUUAAAGUGGUACGCGAGCUGGGUUUAGAACGUCGUGAGACAGUUCGGUCCCUAUCUGCCGUGGGCGCUGGAGAAUUGAGGGGGGCUGCUCCUAGUACGAGAGGACCGGAGUGGACGCAUCACUGGUGUUCGGGUUGUCAUGCCAAUGGCACUGCCCGGUAGCUAAAUGCGGAAGAGAUAAGUGCUGAAAGCAUCUAAGCACGAAACUUGCCCCGAGAUGAGUUCUCCCUGAGACUUAAAGUCUCCUGAAGGAACGUUGAAGACGACGACGUUGAUAGGUCGGGUGUGUAAGCGCAGCGAUGCGUUGAGCUAACCGAUACUAAUGAACCGUGAGGCUUAACCUUACAACGCCGAAG
rnacentral:rRNA from 1 species